rnacentral:tRNA from 1 species
GCCCGGUUAGCUCAGCGGCAGAGCAUCUCGCCUACACCGAGACGGCCGGCGGUUCAAAUCCGUCACCGGGCA